rnacentral:rRNA from 1 species
UAAGUAGGGCGGAACACGUGAAAUUCUGUCUGAACAUGGGUAGACCACUAUCCAAGCCUAAGUACUCGCACACGACCGAUAGCGAACCAGUACCGUGAGGGAAAGGUGAAAAGCACCCCGACGAGGGGAGUGAAACAGUACCUGAAACCGAACGCCUACAAUCAGUCGGAGCUUGACU